AACGAACGCUGGCGGCGUGCCUAACACAUGCAAGUCGUGCGAGAAAGUUCCUUCGGGAGCGAGUAAAGCGGCGCACGGGUGAGUAACACGUAGGUAACCUGCCCCCCAGUCUGGAACAACUAGAGGAAACUCUAGCUAAUGCCGGAUGAGACCACGAUCCCUUCGGGGGUUGCGGCCAAAGAUGGCCUCUACUUGUAAGCUAUCGCUGAGGGAUGGGCCUGCGGGCCAUUAGCUUGUUGGUGAGGUAACGGCUCACCAAGGCUGUGAUGGCUAGCUGGUCUGAGAGGAUGACCAGCCACACGUGGACUGAGACACGGCCCA
rnacentral:rRNA from 1 species